GCCGCGCAGGCGCACCCGCGCCACCGGGCAGCUCGGGGCUCGUAGUCCUGCCCGUGGCCGCGGCCCCACAGCCCUCGCUGCUCCCCUAUCCCGUGGAGCCGGGGGCCGUGGAGGGCCGAGAACUACGGCUCCCAGCAGGGCCGGCGGAGAUGAACAGAACAAGCACAUGGAGUUCCAGAUGCUGAUCCUCGGAGAAUCCACGUGUGACAGAAAGGAUGGAUAAUCUUUUGGCUCAGUUCCAACCUGGUGGAGCCAGCAUGUGGUUGUUUUCAGGCUGAUGUACAGAAAGGGUAUAGCAUUUAUUCUGCCAGGGCAUUACAUGCAAUGUUUUAUUCCACUUAUAUCUGUGGCAACAAUCUUACUGCCUUCUUUCUUACACACAUGACUCUGCAAGCAGAUCACGCCUAUAAAAUACUUGGGUUUGAAGUCAGAAAUUAACCUGUUAGUGCUGGGAUUUGUUAAACAAAGUUAGGCUCUGAUCACAAAAAUACCACCUUCAGUUCAAUUAUUUAAGCAGGUGUAGAGCACCUAAGUACCCUGGUAGGCCCAGCUGGUUAGGAUUCUGAAAAACAGCUGAAUGAUAAUAAUCAAGUAGUACUCCAGUGGCUGCAGCCCACCAAGUUAAAAAAUUUAAUUUAGAAACCAAGGUAAAUCAAUGUAUUUUCUUGGUUAAAGGCAAACUCCAGUCUUAAAUUAUGCAUUGAACUUAAGUAAGAUAUAUGUGGCCUUAUAGUAUUCUUACAUAUUAUCAUAGAACCAUUAUAGAAUCAUAGAAUAGUUUGGGUUGGAAGGGACCUUAAAGUUCAUCUAGUUCCAAUCCCCCUGCCGUGGGCAGGGACACCUUCUGCGAGACCGGGUUGCUGAAGGCCCCGUCCAGCCUGGCCUUGAACACUGCCAGGGAUGGAGCAGCCACAACUUCUCUGGGCAACUUGUUCCAGUGCCUCACCACCCUCACAUGAAUCAGAAAUACUGUACAGCAAUCAGAAAUACCGAUGAUGUGGGCAUGUGAUGGCCCAGUAGACGAUGAAAUACUGAAUAUUGUAAACAAAGAUUGGUGACUUGAAACUCUCUUCCUAAACCUAUUUCCCUCCCUCUAUAAAUGAGUUUAGAGCACAGAAUGCAAAUUUAGGUCAUGGUGUUACUGCUUCCUCUUCGUGGAGAAGGUUGUUCAUUUGAGUUCUGAUUUUGAGUUCCACCUGAAGCUACAAGGCAUUGUAGCCUUCAGCUGUUUCACAGUCACACCCCAGUGUUUCAUGUAAUUUCUCUCUCCAGUGCCUAUGUUGGGAGCACAGGGUGAAGAUCAGGUGAGUGCUUUUAUACCUUGCAGGAUCAGGUCUGCCUGGUAGGAUGCUUAGGAUGAGGGAGCAGACAUCUUGAGGUGAGAGGUACAGUCUUUAAUGGCCUGUGAGCCUUUCUGUUUUGGAGUGAACUGCUGAGGACACCAACAGUCUCACCGCUGCUGCGUUGAUUGGCAAGUUGAAUUUUGUCAGAAGCCAAGGGCUUUGGAAGGCUCCAUGUUCAGUGUGCUCUUCUAUUGAGGCUGCUUCUGCAGGGACAGUCAAUUUAAUUAUGGAGGCCUGAUCCUGGAUGUGAGGAAGAAGAUGUUUACCAGCAUGGUUAGAAACUGCCCUCCCUUCACACAAUUCCUUCUCAGCAUGUGGUUUGCAAGAAGGCAUCUCUGGCCGGAACCGCUUGUGUGGUGUCACUCUUAGCUGUUGCAGCUGUGGAGCUUCAAGACACUUUCUUGAAGUUAUAUGAAGCGGUGACAGAAAAUAGAGAAGGAGAAAUCCCCUAAUGGUUGUGGAAAGAGUUACUACUUGACUUUUCUAAGUUUAUCAUGUGUAUUUAAUGCUUUCUAAAGAUAAUCUGCAUGUAUAAUUUGGAAAAAAUAUGACCUUUGUGUCUAAAACUUAAAAAUAUAUUCAAGAAUAUUGUUGAAGUGUCCACAGUCCUGGGUGCUCAGAUACAGGCAGGAAGGUAAAAAAAAAAAUUUUUGGUAAUUACUGACAUGAAAGAAACGUACAGUUCAAUUUGCAAAUGUAAUUCUGAGUCCACAAAAAGCUGUAUUAUUGCUCUGCCUUGUUACUGGCAUAAUUUUCAAAAUAAAACAUCAACAGGAAUGCGUAUGGAUACUACGUUAUGAAGAAUGUGAUUAGAAAUAAAUGGGAAUCAUUGAUCCAUCAAUAAAAGGGAAUCUUACAAUGUAUGGGACACUACAGUUUGGACCAUCACUUUUAGUUUUUCAGCUGAGAGCAGAAAAGAUGUGGUAAAGUUUACUUGCAAUUUCUUCCCUGCAUAUCUUUAUCUCUAGUUUUAUUAAAAUAAUUUGCUAUUUGAUAGUCCAUGUAAGUGCAUUCAAAAGCAUUAAAAUGCGUAAAGUCAUCAUGUUAUUGAUAUAAAUUAAUUAAUUUAAAUGUUAAUUUAAAUGCUGACCCUACCUGUGGGGAAAGUUGAAAUCUGUUUCCUGGGAUAGUUAGUACAGAAUGAAAGUUGUACUUGGCUGUAAUCCUGAUGCCUUAUUAGCAUGAGGGGUUUGUCUCCUCCCUGGCAGGUCCUGGCUAGUGGUGAAGUGGAGCACCCGGAGUCGGUCCUGCUGUGGCGGCAGUCCUGGGUAUUGAUGCUGGGUCACACCUGGCUGUGGCUCCAGGCAUGCUGGGAAGGAGAUGCCUGCAGUGUGCUGCCACUGGCACUGGGCAACUUCCUGGAGUCGGAGCAUGGCCCUCUCCAACGUUUUGAAACCACUUCCCUGUAGGUCCUUUGGAUUCUGUCACUGGCUGCCAGACCCGUAAGGCCCCGCUGUCCUCGGUUACAUCAGUGCCAAACUGCACUUGUUUGGUUUUUUAAUUUCUGUUACUUUUCUGUUAAUUUUCUGUUACUUUUCCAUCAGAGAAUCCCGAGGGUCCCAUUUGGUUGCUCAGUGAAAGAACAGAGGGUGGGAGAAAGCUUGCAAGGUCACCUCUGUUUGGAAGCAGCUCCCUUAGUAUUCAGCCUUCCUCUUAGCAGCUGGCUUUCAAAUGGCAAGGGAAGGUUUUGCUGAUAUGAUGCAGGGGAAGGACCUGGUUAGCGUAUGAAGACUCUACAGAGUGCUCAUUGGGCGCUGGUGAGGAAAGCUGCUCCUUUGCGGGGAAAGCCUUAUGUUUCUCUGUGCAUGUCUGUUACUGCUGACUUCAGUGCCAUGUUUACUUUUGCCUGCUCUGAGAUAGGUGUGGUAUACAAGUACUUUUGUACUAGGGUAGUGUGCAGUUCUGCUCAGUUGGACUCAGAGUUGCAAGUAGAUAGUUGACUAACUAUGGGGUCCCAGAGAACGUGAGGUGUGGGAUCUACCACUGCUUGUGCUAUGCUAAGUAGUGAUCAUACACCAAUUUUUAGGCAACCUUACUAGCAAGGCCUAAAGUAAUUCUGUGUCUGUGGCUUAAAGACUUACUGCUGUGCAGCUGAGUCACUGUAACCUGCUUGGUGCUCACUCAUAGCCUUCCCUCACUGCCAAAAAUGCUUUAGCACUGACUGUCUUUAAGCUAAGCCUUUCUUUUUCGCAGUCACGAGUGAGGACUGGGUAUGGUAGUCAUACAGGUGAUAAGCAGUAACGCAUGAAGCUAUAGUAACUUGAUUGCCUUUGGUUAUACAUGUAACAUUAUUUUAGGAAUCUCUUUUCAGCAAGAGAGAGAACUACUUCCUUUUUUAAUGAUUUGGGAUCAAAUUUAUCCCAGUGGGAAUCUGUACAGAGCUAAUCAAUAGUGCUAAAUUUAAGAAGGAAGGAAUAGUCAAGGAAUAUUUUUCUAUUUCAAAUAAAUAAUAGAUACAUUUUUUUCAUGUGAAAGUCUUGGUGUUCAGCAAAAAAAGAUGAACAGUAAAAUUUAGUGGGUAAGGUAUUUAGUGGGACAGGAAAAUGUCAGUGUGUUCAGGUGUCUGUAGGUUAAUCAGUAAAUCCAGUAAAAUCCUCUGUCCCUUAGGUAAAGGGUCUGUAUUAAACUCCAGGCCUCCAGGAGGAGGAAGGAAGUUUUAGGCAAGUGUUUGAACAAGGGAGGUGGACUGAGGGAAGCAGAAGAGAAAGGCCAGGACCUGCAGGACUGUUACAGCAGCCCACACACACAGCAGUAUUGAUCUCUCUGUGAGUUGUGGUUAUCAACCAGGAUUUGACUACUUCUGAGACAAACAUACUAAAUACAAGAACAUCAAAUCAGAAAAUGUUGACGAUUAGUCAGUAGAGAAAAAUGGUGAGGAAAAAAGGAAGGAAGAGAUGCCAGUAUGGGUGAAAUGUUGGUGGGUGAGGUCAGGGGGAUGUUCCAGAGAAGCAGCACACAGAGGUGAAUUGGUGUUUGAAUGUGCAGGGAAUGAAACAAGGAGGAACAGGGCAGUUUGACUCCACGACGUACAGCUGUGGAUGAGCAACUGUUAAAGGGAACAUACGAACGCAUUUGGAAGAUCAGUGUUAUGUGUAAGCUAGGUUUUGAAGGGUAGAUUAAAAAUGAAAUAAUUUUAAUGGUGUGUUUGAGGACAAAAUGAAAAGUCACAAGUUUGGAAAUGGCAAUGCUUACCAGAGCUAUAAACAUGACCUUUGCUGGUUGUGCUCUAGCACUCGGAGUAUUUAUAUGACCACAUGUUCUUUAUCAGUCAAUAAUGCAGUUGUCAGUAACACUGCUUCUGCACUAUGCUGCAGUGUGCAUAGGUGCAUCUUCAGAUGAGUGAGGAAAAAUCCCUCAAAUUACCAAGGCAUAAAAGGAAAUUAGUUCAGAUAUUUAGUAUCUAGAUUUAAAUUCUGCAUUUUGCAGCAUGAUGGCAAGCAUGGCAGAUUUGUCUUGGAAAAUUAGGAUGCAUUCCAGCAGAAACUGAUGCAGAGACUCAGCUUUUUCCUGAAAAAUAGCUUCCGCUAUUCCCUGUAGCUAAGCAUUUAGAGCUUGCAGGAUCAGGGCCUAACAAGCCACACCUAUUUCUUACUGUUUUUUUUUUUUUUUUGGGUGGAGGUGGGGGUAGUGGGGUAUUUUAGUUUUGUCAUUUUUUUGUUUGUGGGGUUUGUUUGGUUUGGUUUGGUUUUGGUGGGAUUUUUUUGUUUUUGUCCUAGAAAACAGAACUCUCCAUGUUAAAAUGAUUGGAAAUUGAACUUAGAGGGAUCUAGCAUGUGAUUACUUUUUUUAGACAGGAUUUUCUUCAUAGCUGAAUUGGACUGAGGUUUUUUUUUCUUUCCUUCCAAACCAGAUGGUAAGUGAUUCAGUACUUUUAGCAGUAGAAAAAUGAUUUGUUUUCUUUCCUCAGUAGUUGGUGUGAAUGUACUUUUCUUUAUCUAUUUACAUAUUAUGUAAACACACUUUAACAGCAUAUAUGUACAUAGUGUACAGUCCUAAUCCUGCAGAGAGCCCUGUAUAGGCAAGGCCUUGCACAUAGGAGGAAUUGACAUUGCUUUCAGAGAGCUGUUUGCAUGGAACUCCUGGCAGGAUUAUCACUGUAUUUGGAUUUUUAUGUGUACACUUAAAUAUAUGACACUGUAUGAGGAUGCCAACAGAACUCUUAAGUCCACAAAAUGUUUGAGUAACCUUGUGCACUUUUUUCGCCUAACAAAGUCUCUGGGGAUGCCCUUGAUCUCUUCUGUUGUCUUCCUGUGGUAAGCUGUAGCCCUGGUGACUGUUGAAUUAAAGGCAAAAGCUUAUCCUUAUUAUGGAGUGUUGGGGCAAGUUCUUCCUGGUGUGCAGGGGGAGCGAGGGCCUCAUUCGUCUGGCCUUUUGGACUUGUGCUGAUGCUACUAGGGGGUCUUGGGAAGGGAUUCCUGUAAUGGUGAGAAAUGCUUGUGAGAGUAUUAAAAAAACCUCCUUUCACGUGUGUACUUGAUUUCUCAAAGUUAUCUGCAUCUGUGUUUGUGUAUAUACAAUGUUAAAACUGAAUGUUAAAUGCAGUGCUGUGCCUUGUUCUGUGCUAAAUAAAACGUACAUGUAAACCACAUAUAUGCCGUGUCAGCAUAUGGGUAUUUGAGGCAGAAUGGAAGGAUCUGAAGCUGAUAGUAAACUGCAUUAUAAGGAAAUAGCAUGUUACAGUGUCCAGCCACUGAUUUUUUUAUACAAGCAAGGUUGCCCAGGCAGCCUUGGAGUUGUCCUUUCCAAGCAGUUAAGAGCUAUUUUUGUAAAUUUCAUGUGCUUUUACCCUAGCUUUGAGAAUUAAAACAUUGAAUGCAUAGAGUCAUACUGCUGCUUUACUGAGAUGAUAAUGUUCUGCUUCAAAAAUAGUGACCAGUUUAUCUGUUUACAGAUCUGGCUGUACACAGCUGGAAUGGGCUUAUCCAAUUCUCUUCUUGGUUCUCACCUCAUCUAUGCAUGCUUCAGUUGAGUCACUGGGGGUUUGCACACAGAGGAGCUGGCCCCUUGCCUUGUUUUCCAGGUUUACCAGAGAGUUGCAACCCAGUUCUUAGCAUCUCCCACUUAAAAAAAAUGUGACAAUCUUCUGCUUCCGUGAAUUUUAGUAGGGGGAGAAAAAGACACAUGAAUUAGCAUCAGAAAUACUGUGCUGUGACAUGUCAAGUUUUUUCCAUCAAAUUAUUCAGUGGAAGGGUGGCAGAAGAGGGCCUUUGAAACUAGCACUGUUUUUUUGACAUGGAUCAGUAGUCACGCUGGGGUGAUUCACUGUGCCUUGUAUUUGUGUAAUCAAUUACUUUUCCCUUUAUGCAAAGGGAAUUGUUUGGGGGAGUUUGCCUCUCAGGCUAUGUGGCUAUUGAUGUGGUCAUUCGAGGUGGCAGAAAAAUGCAUCUCCAGAAAGAUACAUAAUCCUGCAGGAUGCUGCUGCAUGGGGUGGCGUGUGAAUCUCAUCUGAGGUCAGACUGCCUGCUGGGCGGAACGAGAGCUUGUCUGGCCAGUGCUCUCUGUAUAUGUACUGAGGGCUGUACCUCCUGGCAUACCUCAUCGUGGUCACAAACAGUCACGUUUUUCAUAACUGGGAAUUGCUUUAUUAUAUUACCAGAAAGAAGUAAGAGCACAAAGCAAUGGUUGCAAACUUCCAAUCACUGUAUCUGUAGAAGAGCAGAACAGUAACUCCUAACCCGGCUGUUGUGGGCAUGCAGGGACAGUGGGGUUAAAUUUUCUCUUCUCUUAGACUGCUGCUUGUGCAAGCUCACGCGCCUUUGUAAUUGCCUCCUGACUGGCAGCAGAGUGCUUGCUUCCCAGUGUCACAGUUACUGGUGUCUCCUGGCACCUAGCCAUCUGUCCCUUGCUGGCAAGGUGGUGCACUGGGAAUGGUACCAUGCCUACGGGUGUGACAGUAGCUGUGGCACAUAUAGCAAAUAAAAGGAGCCAAGGAGAAGUUAAACCAGAUGAUCUGUCAGUUAGGGAGAAUGAGCAAAAUCUGCCCUCAGCGUGGAGGGCUCUGAAGAAACAGGGUAGGAGACCAGUUAUCUGUUACCUCCUGUGGGCCCCAGGGAGUAAACACUGUGGAAAAAACUUGGCUUAAAGCUCUGAAGACUAAGUAAUUGCUGGAAGCUCUGGGCUAUUUAGGACAUAAGCAUGCAUUUAUAAGCACUGGAAGUACUGAAGAGAGUUUCUUCUGGUUUCAGUUAAUAAUAGGGCACGUUGUGUACAGUUUGUUUGCUUGAUUGGUUCAUUUUAUUGUGUGUAAAUACACUGUAGAAACAAUUUUGUCUUUUGUUCAGUGUUACUCAGCUGGUGUGUUUCUUGUCAAUCCAAUGAAUUACAGGGUAUAAGUAGCCUGCUCCAGUCUGUCUGUGAAACAAGGUCCAUUUAAAAUAAAGGCCCACAAGGGAUAUGGUGGGACUGCAGAAGAGUUAGAAGGAUGGUAAGCAGAGGAGGAGGCAGCAUGUGCAGCAGAAUGGAAACCUCCAGGCCAUGUGUGCCACAGGCAUAGCAACUCAGUGGCGAUGUGAGUUGCCUCAAUGAAAAAGGAGUUCUGCUCUCCCAUGCGUGGUAUGAAACUCAGCUCCGCUGAUCUUAGUAGAAAUAACAGGGGUUUGCAAUGGGGCAAAUGAGAGCAGAAUCUGGCCAACUGUUAAUAGCUUUUUGUGUUUAGGGCUGAAAUAAAGUGGCUGUGUAUGCAAAUAAUUGUGCAAGCAUGACUCCUAAGUGACUUAUAAGAGGAGAAUUCAAUAUUUAAUUGUUGGAAAUACAGACUGUUUGGCACAAAUCUCCUGGUUUGGCUGAGCUGUACUUGACCUGUGACAGAGAGAGCAAAGGUGAUUUUAAGUCCUGGGAUUGAAGGGGCCAGUGUGUAAUGUAACUCAAGGCAAAGUCAGCACGUUGGCUGUUUUGUAAUUACAGAUGCUUAUUUUGUGUGCAAACCCAGGUGGUUCAUUAGCUUUUAUUUCCAUUAUCUCAUCACAAUAUUUACGUGUGAAUCUGAGCUAUUUUACUUCACAGGUGUGAUAUGUAAGUAGAAUUAAAAAAAAGGGUUUGGUAAGAAGUUGGUUGUUUUGAUAUAAAGAUAUAUGGCUAGGAGUG